rnacentral:rRNA from 1 species
UACAGAGGUCUCAAGCGUUGUUCGGAUUCAUUGGGCGUAAAGCGCACGUAGGCGGGUUGUUAAGUCGGGGGUGAAAUCCUGGAGCUCAACUCCAGAACUGCCUUCGAUACUGGCGACCUUGAGUCCGGGAGAGGUGAGUGGAACUCCGAGUGUAGAGGUGAAAUUCGUAGAUAUUCGGAAGAACACCAGUGGCGAAGGCGGCUCACUGGCCCGGUACUGACGCUGAGGUGCGAAAGCGUGGGGAGCAAACAGG